CUCGGGAACUGAGGCUAAACCGCGAUAGAUCAAGAUACCUGGAAUGGUUUUUGAUCAAAAUCUAUAUGGCCUUUGGAUUGGACUGCGUCCGAUCAGGCUGUUGGUGAGGUAAUGGCCCACCAAACCUGUAACCGGUACGGGCUCUGAGAGGAGGAGCCCGGAGAUGGGUACUGAGAAAAGGACCCAGGCCCUAUGGGGCGCAGCAGGCGCGAAACCUCUGCAAUAGGCGAAAGCCUGACAGGGUUACUCUGAGUGACUUUCGCUAAGAAAGUCUUUUGACACCUCUAAAAAUGGUGUAGAAUAAGGGGUGGGCAAGUCUGGUGUCAGCCGCCGCGGUAAUACCAGCACCCCGAGUGGUCGGGACGAUUAUUGGGCCUAAAGCAUCCGUAGCCGGUUUUACAAGUCCUCCGUUAAAUCCAGCUGCUUAACAGAUGGGCUGCGGAGGAUACUAUAAGACUAGGAGGCAGGAGAGGCAAGCGGUACUCAGUGGGUAGGGGUAAAAUCCGUUGAUCCAUUGAAGACCACCAGUGGCGAAGGCGGCUUGCCAGAAUGCGCUCGACGGUGAGGGAUGAAAGCUGGGGGAGCAAACCGGAUUAGAUACCCGGGUAGUCCCAGCUGUAAACGAUGCAGACUCGGUGAUGGACUAGCUUUAUGCUAAUCCAGUGCCGC
rnacentral:rRNA from 1 species